CCGUGUUUAUUUACUUUUGAUAUAUUUUUCAUACGUGUGCAUGUAAAACAAAUUUCGUUGUAGAAGGGUCUAAUAACAGCACAAACAACAUUUUCCAAAAGACCAAAAAAGUGAAAAAGUAUAUUUAAACAAAACGCAUUUGACGAACAGGUCGAACAACUGAUGUUCUUUAACCCUGCUGACUGCCAGUGGCGAUUGCCAAAUAAAAUUGAUCACAAGAUGUAACAAAAUGGAUCUUAAUAUAAAUUUAAUACUAAACAGAAAAAAA
rnacentral:lncRNA from 1 species